rnacentral:rRNA from 1 species
GCUUGUCUCAAAGAUUAAGCCAUGCACGUCUAAGUAUAAGCGAUUAUACUGUGAAACUGCGAAUGGCUCAUUAUAUCAGUUAUAGUUUAUUUGAUGGUCCUUGCUACUUGGAUAACCGUAGUAAUUCUAGAGCUAAUACAUGCAUAAGUCCCCGACUGCUUGGAAGGGGUGUAUUUAUUAGAUGGAAACCAAUUCGGGGUAACCCGGUUAAUGGUGAUUCAUAAUAACUUUCGGAUCGAUUUAUCGAUGCAUCAUUCAAGUUUCUGCCCUAUCAGCUUUGGAUGGUAGGGUAUUGGCCUACCAUGGCUUUAACGGGUAACGGAGAAUUAGGGUUCGAUUCCGGAGAGGGAGCCUGAGAAAUGGCUACCACAUCCAAGGAAGGCAGCAGG